rfam:Schistosoma rodhaini strain Burundi genome assembly, scaffold: SROB_scaffold0000369
AUCCAGCUGACGAGUCCCAAAUGGAACUUGACACGCGUUCUGGAU